rnacentral:SRP_RNA from 1 species
CCAUCGCGAUGAUUAGCCGCGAACCAGGUCAGGGUAGGAAUACAGCAGCCUUAAGAGGACCUAGUCAUGUGCGGUGGUUU